UAAGACGUAGGGGGCGAGCGUUGUCCGGAUUUAUUGGGCGUAAAGCGCGCGCAGGCGGUCGGCAAAGUCGGAUGUGAAAACCAGGGGCUCAACCCUUGGCCUGCAUCCGAUACUCGUCGACUAGAGGCAGGUAGGGGAGAUCGGAAUUCCUGGUGUAGCGGUGAAAUGCGCAGAUAUCAGGAGGAACACCGGUGGCGAAGGCGGAUCUCUGGGCCUGUCCUGACGCUCAGGCGCGAAAGCUAGGGGAGCAAACAGGAUUAGAUACCCUGGUAGUCCUAGCUGUAAACGAUGGGUGCUAGGUGUGGGGGGUAUUGACCCCCUCCGUGCCGCAGCUAACGCAUUAAGCACCCCGCCUGGGGAGUACGGCCGCAAGGCUA
rnacentral:rRNA from 1 species